rnacentral:rRNA from 1 species
UACGUAGGGUGCGAGCGUUAAUCGGCCUUACUGGGCGUAAAGCGUGCGCAGGCGGUUCGUUAUGUCCGAUGUGAAAGCCCCGAGCUUAACUUGGGAAUGGCAUUGGAAACUGGCGGGCUGGAGUGCGGCAGAGGGGGGUGGAAUUCCACGUGUAGCAGUGAAAUGCGUAGAGAUGUGGAGGAACACCGGUGGCGAAGGCAGCCCCCUGGGCCGACACUGACGCUCAGGCACGAAAGCGUGGGGAGCAAACAGG